UUCGCCUCCGUGGCGGUUGGAUGUGGUUUUUGUAACUACGUAUAUUUUUUGAUCGUGGGGACUGCGUACGCGUUAUCCCUGUUUUUCUUUUACCUUCAUAUUACUGGAAAAUAGCGUAUGGACAAAGCUGAAUGCAGUCCGGAGCCAUAUAUUGAACUGAACUGGGAGAAUGGCAUAUGGAUAUACCCUUCUACCUAAAGCCAUAUACCGAACUGAACUGAACUGGGAUUAGCUGUCCUUUCAAUUUCUAAAGUAGCAGAAACAGAUAGUCAGCUGGGUAGCAAUCAUGGAACUCGUCGGAAUCGAUUCCGAUCAGAAUAAUUCCGUUUCCCGAAAAGACAAUAGAAAUCUAGGAAAUAACAGAAUAAAUUCGAUCGGAAUCGAUUCCGAUGAGAUCCAUAAUAGGUACCCUGUACUUAUCUCUUAUAUUAAAACAUGGUCUGUAGCCAAUAAAAUAAUCCGUGCAGCAUCUAGAUGGAUAUAGGAGACCUAACUAUGAAUACAGAAAAUGUAGAAAAAGUUAUGGUGGUAAUUGUCAUAACUAAGCAGAACAUGUGAAAAAAGAUGACAUUCUAUGUAUAUUAGACACAAACAUUAAAUAAUAAAAUUAAACAAUUUAUCUCUCGUCCGACAUAUUUCAUUAAAAGUCACGUUAGAAAUGAAAGGCUAC